UUUUUUUUAAAUGUGCCAUGUCAUGCACAUGUAUUUUGUAAAAAAGAAUGUCAGCAUUAAAAAUGCAAUGUGUGUGAUGCCUUGAACGUGAUUAUAAAAACACUAUUGUUACUGACAUGUGGUGACGGGUGACGGAGAAUUAGGGUUCGAUUCCAGAGAGGGAGCCUGAGAAACGGCUACCACAUCCAAAAAAGGCAGCAGGCGCGCAAAUUACCCAAUCCUGACACGGGAAGGUAGUGACAAUAAAUAACAAUACCGGGCGCAUUAGUGUCUGGUAAUUGGAAUGAGUAUAAUCUAAAUCCCUACAUCAUCAUAA
rnacentral:ncRNA from 2 species